GUACUGCGGAGGACAUUACACAAAUAUGAAGGCGGGCUGGAACCUCUCGGGGUUACAGCCUUGCUGAAUUAUUCACCCUUGUCUUUUGCGUACUUCUUGUUUCCUUGGUGGGUUCGCCCACCACUAGGACAAACAUAAACCUUUUGUAAUUGCAAUCAGCGUCAGUAACAAAUUAAUAAUUACAACUUUCAACAACGGAUCUCUUGGUUCUGGCAUCGAUGAAGAACGCAGCGAAAUGCGAUAAGUAGUGUGAAUUGCAGAAUUCAGUGAAUCAUCGAAUCUUUGAACGCACAUUGCGCCCUUUGGUAUUCCAAAGGGCAUGCCUGUUCGAGCGUCAUUUGUACCCUCAAGCUUUGCUUGGUGUUGGGCGUCUUGUCUCUAGCUUUGCUGGAGACUCGCCUUAAAGUAAUUGGCAGCCGGCCUACUGGUUUCGGAGCGCAGCACAAGUCGCACUCUCUAUCAGCAAAGGUCUAGCAUCCAUUAAGCCUUUUUUUCAACUUUUGACCUCGGAUCAGGUAGGGAUACCCGCUGAACUUAAGCAUAUCAAA
rnacentral:rRNA from 1 species